ACUUUUGUGUCCAUACUCUGCAAAGCAGGGAUAGCCCAACUCCCAAGAUCCUGCUCAAUUCUUACAAAGAGCCAGCUAUCUGAAGAAAAAAUCAGGGACAACCAGAAGGAUGUAAGUGGAGGACAAAUUGCCAUGGAGCCCGUCUGGGAAAGAAUGAAAGGUCAUCGUGUCUCUGAGUCAGAAUGGGACACUUCCAUGGGUGACUGACUCCUCAUUAGUCCAUCAUCUUGGGUCCCUCCAAGCAAAGCAGAAACAAGAAAGUUCCAAAGAAGGACACCAUGUGGCAUUGAGUGCUGUACUUUUUACUAUCUUGUCUGGGAACAGAGAUGGCACAACGGUCUGCUUAAGACUGAUCCCAAGCCAAGAGGGAUGCCUUAGAUAACAAAGAGCCAGAUCCAAAAGGUCCAUUCUGUCUUAACCUAGACGGAAAAGCCGUUCCCAAACAAGCUGCUGUCAACCACCCUCAGGGCUCAUGGCUGACUCAGAGUGUGUGACUGGGACUCUAUGAGAGCGCCUGAAACCUUAUGAUACCCUCUCAGGACUAGAGGGUGCCCAAGGAAAAGUGAUGGUUCUGACCUGCCCUUGAGGGUUAGUUUUGCUCCUAAAUAAAUG
rnacentral:lncRNA from 1 species